UAUAUGUUUUAGAACUUCUAUGAUGAUUUACUCUCAAUGGGAGUAGUACACCUUCUGCUAAUCUACUUUUUGCGUUCCCCACAGACAUUGCUCACCUACAAUUCCUCUGAUUCCUUCUUUGUCCAUCUAUUGCAUUCAUGGAGUUGCACACUGCCAGUAAUUCUAAGUAAAGUUUUAAUUCUAGAGUAAAAUAUCCCAACUUAAUGUGAAGGAAUACCCCAUCAUGUCCGUCUCUUUCUGUUCGUCUGGAUUCAUAUCCCAGUUUUAUUUAAUUUAUUCUGUUUGGUUCCCAAACUGAGACCACCCCAGAGACCAAAUAAAACAAGGAAUGUUAAGUAUCUCUACGAAAACCACAAAGGAACUAGUUAAUAGAAUGCUCCACUGGGUGGCCGCUGUUUCGUGCAUGGGUACACACGUGGUCGGGACAAUGGAUGGCGGCCAUCUUGUCUCCCCAAUGCUGGCAACGGGACUGGGUCGUCGAGUGCCUGGAACUCUUUUUGGCCAGGCACUCCCGCAAACACCUGUCAUCAUAGACCUGCUGUCCGUUCCAGUUCUAUUUCACCUACACGAACGGCGUUCAGGAGUUAGCCUACCAAACACUGGGAGCA